rnacentral:rRNA from 1 species
AUUGAACGCUGGCGGCAGGCCUAACACAUGCAAGUCGAGCGGAUGAGAGGAGCUUGCUCCUUGAUUUAGCGGCGGACGGGUGAGUAAUGCCUAGGAAUCUGCCUGGUAGUGGGGGAUAACGUUCCGAAAGGAACGCUAAUACCGCAUACGUCCUACGGGAGAAAGCAGGGGACCUUCGGGCCUUGCGCUAUCAGAUGAGCCUAGGUCGGAUUAGCUAGUGGGUGAGGUAAUGGCUCACCAAGGCGACGAUCCGUAACUGGUCUGAGAGGAUGAUCAGUCACACUGGAACUGAGACACGGUCCAGACUCCUACGGGAGGCAGCAGUGGGGAAUAUUGGACAAUGGGCGAAAGCCUGAUCCAGCCAUGCCGCGUGUGUGAAGAAGGUCUUCGGAUUGUAAAGCACUUUAAGUUGGGAGGAAGGGCAUUAACCUAAUACGUUAGUGUUUUGACGUUACCGACAGAAUAAGCACCGGCUAACUUCGUGCCAGCCGCCGCCGUAA